rnacentral:rRNA from 1 species
AACGAACGCUGGCGGCGUGCCUAACACAUGCAAGUCGUGCGAGAAAGUUCCUUCGGGAGCGAGUAAAGCGGCGCACGGGUGAGUAACACGUAGGUAACCUGCCCCCCAGUCUGGAACAACUAGAGGAAACUCUAGCUAAUGCCGGAUGAGACCACGAUCCCUUCGGGGUUGCGGCCAAAGAUGGCCUCUACUUGUAAGCUAUCGCUGAGGGAUGGGCCUGCGGGCCAUUAGCUUGUUGGUGAGGUAACGGCUCACCAAGGCUGUGAUGGCUAGCUGGUCUGAGAGGAUGGAACCAGCCACACUGGGACUGAGACACGGCCCAGACUCCUACGGGA